rnacentral:rRNA from 1 species
GAUGGGGCUGGCGGCUUGCUUACAGAUGCAAGUCGAGCGGUAACAGGGGAAGCUUGCUUCCCGCUGACGAGCGGCGGACGGGUGAGUAAUGCUUAGGAAUCUGCCCAGUAGUGGGGGAUAGCCCGGGGAAACCCGGAUUAAUACCGCAUACGUCCUACGGGAGAAAGCAGGGGAUCUUCGGACCUUGCGCUAUUGGAUGAGCCUAAGUCGGAUUAGCUAGUUGGUGGGGUAAAGGCCUACCAAGGCGACGAUCCGUAGCUGGUCUGAGAGGAUGAUCAGCCACAUCGGGACUGAGACACGGCCCGAACUCCUACGGGAGGCAGCAGUGGGGAAUAUUGGACAAUGGGGGCAACCCUGAUCCAGCCAUGCCGCGUGUGUGAAGAAGGCUUUCGGGUUGUAAAGCACUUUCAGUAGGAGGAAAACCUUAUGGCUAAUACCCAUGAGGCUUGACUUCCUACCAAAAAACACCGGCUAACUCCGUGCCCCGCCCGGUAAUACGGAGGGGCAACCUUAAUCGGAAUUCUGGGCCAAAGG